rnacentral:tRNA from 1 species
GCACCUGUAGUUUAAUGGUAGAAUGGGAAUCUUGUAAAUUUCAGGUCCGGGUUCGAUUCCUGGUGGGUGCU